rnacentral:misc_RNA from 1 species
AGGGCCUACUGGCUAUACUAAGAGAAAUAUUAUCUCGGGUUGUGUAACUAGUGCUUUCGAAUUGAUAAUUGACAGACACAUAAUGGGACACAUAAAAGAUUGCACUGAAACCGAGGCACAUCGAGUUUUGAAAAAAGAUUGGACAAUCACAGUUGCUGAGUUACGUAAUAUAACGAUAGACAAUUUCUUUACAAGCAUCCCGCUAACUAAAAAAUUACUUGCAGAAAAAACAACCUUGGUUGGGACCAUCCGGUCGAACAAAAGAAAACUGCUAAAAC